UAGGGAAUCUUCCACAAUGGACGCAAGUCUGAUGGAGCAACGCCGCGUGGGUGAAGAAGGUUUUCGGAUCGUAAAGCUCUGUUGUUGGUGAAGAAGGAUAGAGGCAGUAACUGGUCUUUAUUUGACGGUAAUCAACCAGAAAGUCACGGCUAACUACGUGCCAGCAGCCGCGGUAAUACGUAGGUGGCAAGCGUUGUCCGGAUUUAUUGGGCGUAAAGCGAGCGCAGGCGGAAUGAUAAGUCUGAUGUGAAAGCCCACGGCUCAACCGUGGAACUGCAUCGGAAACUGUCAUUCUUGAGUGCAGAAGAGGAGAGUGGAAUUCCAUGUGUAGCGGUGGAAUGCGUAGAUAUAUGGAAGAACACCAGUGGCGAAGGCGGCUCUCUGGUCUGCAACUGACGCUGAGGCUCGAAAGCAUGGGUAGCGAACAGG
rnacentral:rRNA from 1 species